CAAGCUGCAGAGAACUUUAACGAACUAGCUCAUUCGCUUUCUCCUUCAAAUCCAGCCACGUUUUUGGGUGAAUCGAACUCAAACACAAUUUUGGGUACUACUAGUACGACCAGCAAGAACUUGAAUCAUUUAAUGAUGCAAGCAAAAAGGAAGCAAAACCAUGGGAGCUCCAGUGAAAUAGAAGGAAGUUUAACCAGAGACUUUCUUGGUGUAGGUGGUGAAACACGCAGACCAUUCUUGCAAAAAGAGCUAGCAAAGUUUGCAUCAAUAAGUUCAGGAAUGGAUUUGAGCCAAUACAGUUCUGGGCAUCGUUGAGUUAAUCCAAUUCCAGAAAGUAAAAUUGUUGUUGUACUAUACAUUAGCUAUGAGCUAUAGCUAGUCUGUGUUUUUUUUAAUUUUUUUUUUUUAUAUACAUUGAGAAAGCAGAAUAUUAGGAGAAAACAGACAAAAACUGAAGACGCCUGAGCACCGAGUUACACUCCAUGGAA
rnacentral:misc_RNA from 1 species